AGAGUAUAGCUCAGUGGUAGAGCAUGUGCUUAGCAUCCACGAGGUUCCUGGGUUUAAUGCCUAGUACCUCUG
rnacentral:tRNA from 1 species